AGCUUCAGUAGCGUAUAUUAAAGCUGUUGCAUUUAAAAAGCUCGUAGUUGAUGCUUCGCUCGUCGUCGGUCUUCCACAUUCGUGUUUGCCGUCUGUCGGGUUGGUACUUUGUGGCUAACACAAUUCGCACUGUGAGUAAAUUAGAGUGAUCCAAGCAGGCUGUGCUCGUAUGCUUCAGCAUGGUAUGGGUUCUUGGCGUCGAAUGCAUUUGAGUUCUUCUCUACGUGUUUUCGGAGUAAAGGUUAAUAGAGACAGAUGAUGGGAUUCGUAUUGAGUUACACUUUUGGAACCAUUAAACCGCCAGAUUAAAGUUGCUAGAGGUGAAAUUCUUGGACCAACUCAAGACGCACCGAAGCGAAAGCUUUUCCCACGUAUGCUCUUAUUAAUCAAGAACGAAAGU
rnacentral:rRNA from 1 species